AGAGUGAUACGUUGAAGGCUUAGCCAGAUACGCAGCCCCGAGUCAUGCGUGCACAUUCGUGAGGGUUGUGGGCGAAGCGCGGAUGGGGGUACGCGCGGGCCGGUUAUUGAGCCGCGAAAUACCACCGUCGUUGCUGGAGGUCU
rfam:Ralstonia eutropha JMP134 megaplasmid, complete sequence.